rnacentral:lncRNA from 1 species
UUUUUUUUUUUUUUUUUUUUUUUCUGCUUUCUGAGGUACUGUUGGUGGCAGCUCCGUCAUAGUAGCUGGUGGUUCCACUUUCUAUUUUUAUUUUAUUAUUGAUUUCUUUUUGUAAACCAUAUUGUGAUGUUAGGUGAGAUUAUUAAAUAAAUAAUUUACCAGUAGCUAUCCAGAUUUUAAGCAGGGGACUGUGACUUGGCUGUAAAUUACCUAGUCUUUAGCACUUUUUUGGAAAAAAAAAAAAAAAAAAAAUCUUUGGCAUCUAUUUUGCUUGCAAAGAUUAGACCUUUUUUAGAACUAAUUCAAAGAAAAAAUGAGUGGAGAAGGAAAGGUGGCUGUGUGACAGGAGGGUCUGGUUACAUAGCCUCCUGGCUAAUCAAAUUCUUGCUUCAAAGAGCUUACACUGUCAAGGCCACUGUUCGUAAUCCAAGUAAAUCCCUCCCCAUCUGUCUCUUUUUUUUUCCUACAAGCUCAGUUGGGUCAUUGGUGAAUCUUAAUUUCUUUGAAAUCUUUGGCAUCUAUUUUGCUUGCAAAGAUUAGACCUUUUUUAGAACUAAUUCAAAGAAAAAAUGAGUGGAGAAGGAAAGGUGGCUGUGUGACAGGAGGGUCUGGUUACAUAGCCUCCUGGCUAAUCAAAUUCUUGCUUCAAAGAGCUUACACUGUCAAGGCCACUGUUCGUAAUCCAAGUAAAUCCCUCCCCAUCUGUCUCUUUUUUUUUCCUACAAGCUCAGUUGGGUCAUUGGUGAAUCUUAAUUUCUUUGAAUGAGGGUUUGAUUUUAUAGUGACUUUGGUUGUGGCUGUGCGGCUGUGGAUCUAAUCUUUUAUGUUUUACUUCUGGUUUUGACUUCAUUUUAUACAAUUUCAUGGGUAUUUAAUUGCUUAUAGCACUUUUUUAUGUGGUUUUGUUGAUUAUUGAUAAUUUUAUAUCCUGCUGUUUGCUUGUUAAGAAUGAAUUGAAUCAGCCCUCACUUCGAUUGAGUAGCUAAAUGACUUAAACUUUUCAUGUAUCAUUAUUUUAAACACCAAGCAAGGACGAUGGAAAGAAAGCAAGAUACUAGCAUAUGAGUAAACUUCUACUAAACUGAUGUGAAAUCUUAAAUUAGUUUGCUUGUUUUAGUGUUUCUUUAACUUUCAAUGUUCUCAUUGGACUCAUACUUCAGUUCAUUGAAUCUGUAUUCUGUACCCCAGAUGAUCUGAAGAAAACUGCACACUUGCUUGCACUCGAGGGAGCCAAGGAAAGGCUUCACUUGCUCAAAGCUGAUUUAUUGCAAGAAGGAUCUUUUGAUGCUGCAGUUGAUGGUUGUGAAGCUGUUUUCCACACAGCUUCCCCUGUAUCUCUUCAAGCCAAUGCGGAUCCUCAGGUCCAUCAUCUUUGACAACCUUUUCACUGCCUUUAUAUGUGAUAGAGUUCCUCCCUUUGGACCUAAACUGCAAUUUCUGACUGUUCUGUUGUCAUUUGGCAUUACAUUUUCUCAUAUUUCUCUAUAAUAACUUGUGCACUAUCUGUGUUAUUUUAUUAUGUUGAUGUAACUGUUCGCCACCGGCUAUUUCGAUGUGUCAGGCAGAACUAGUUGAUCCUGCAGUGAAGGGAACUCUAAAUGUUCUUCGAUCUUGUGCAAAAGUUCCUUCUAUCAAGAGAGUGAUUAUAACAUCUUCAUUCGCUUCUCUUCCAUACAAUGGAAAAAUUCUGGCCCCUGAUGUAGUUGUUGAUGAGACUUGGUUUUCAGAUCCAGCUGUUUGUGCAAAACGGAAGGUUUGUCUUCUAUUAAAAUGCUACUCAUUAUCUUUUGGCCCUGAAAUUAAUUGCUUAACCCUCUGUUUGGAAUCAAGAAUUUCACCAGAAUUCAAUUCAAUUGAUUUUUUUUUUCUAUCAAUUUUUUUGUACGGAAUGAGUGAAAUCAAACUUUUUUAAUUUAAAAAAUUGUCAUUUUAAAAGAGGUCAAAUUCUUGCAUAAUUUUGUAAGAAUUCAUUUGAACUCUUUUCUUGCAAGAUGAAUCACCCUAAACAAGGGGUAAAGGGUAAAAGAAGAUGAAAAAGGGAUAUCUGACCAUCAUGGUUUGUCCUUGAGCAUAUCAAUCUUGAUUACUUCUAAUUUACCCAUCCCAAUUGGAUGGUUGUGAUGAUACAAUGAAAUCAACUUGAUUUUAUAUCUUUAACUGUUUUGUUUAUGAGAUAAUUUGGUCUUUUCUUUCUCCAGCUCUGGUAUCAACUUGGGAAAACGUUAGCUGAGCAGGCUGCUUGGGAAUUUGCAAAAAACAACAAGAUGGAUUUUGUUACAAUACAUCCAGUGUUUGUCCUUGGUCCUCUUUUGCAGCCAACUAUUAAUAGCUCAAUCGAGAUACUUUUCAAUCUCAUAAAUGGUGUGCUCCAGCAACAUAAGAAGACAUGUCCAUUUGAUUACCAAAUAUCUUGACAUUUUAGCAUUAAUUUAAUCACACAAUAUUACAUGAUUUAUUAUGUAACAAUCAGUUGAUUUUGUUUUUUGGGUAGGAGGAGCUCAAGAGUAUCCUGAUGCAUAUUAUAGAUCCAUCGAUGUGAGAGAUGUUGCAUAUGCACAUAUUCAAGCUUUGGAGAUUCCUUCAGCUAGUGGCAGAUAUUGUUUAAUUGAAAGCGACGUUCACUUCUCUGAGGUUCUGAAGAUUGUGCAGCAACAUUAUCUUACAUUGCACCUUCCAAAAAAGUAUGGUUUUUUUAUAUUUUUGCAUGCUCAUGUUGGACCAGCUAUAUGAAUGGCUAAGUUUUAUAAUUAUUUGGAUUACUGAGAAAUAGUUGUUUUGAAUGAUUAAUUUAAUCAUGGAAUAUCAUCUGAGUUGCAGAUGUGGCUCCGGAUUGAAUUACUUAACAAAGUCUGGGGUAUCCAAGGAAAAAGCGAAAACUUUGGGUAUUGACUUCAUUCCUUUGGAGGUUAGUUUGAAGGACACUAUUGAAAGCUUGAAGGAGAAGGGCUUCCUCAGCAUUUGAUUUUUGCUGUUGGAUGAAAAGCAAUGGAAAUUGUUGACUGAUGAGACUUUUUUACUUAAGUUUUAUUUAAUGUUUUGUUUAUGUUGAGAAUUUGAAUCAUAAUAUUAGGAAAGAAAAAGAAGAAAAAUAGAGAACCGAAGAAAGAAUUCUGCUAAGAACUCUCUUGUUAAAAUUGAAAUUAAUAUUUCUUUAUAUAGGCUACAAUUAAAAUUCAAAACUUAAAAAAAUUUUAAAAUAUCUUAACAAAUCUUAUAGUUUGUUUGAAUAAUAAAAAAUCUAGAAUAAUAAAAAACAAUAACUGAAUAUCAAAAUAAAUAUUUGAAAAUUUGAAUUAAAAUCUCAAAUACUUUCCUUUAAUUCAAAAUUUUCUCAAAAUUUAAAUUUUAUGGAUGGAGUAUUUCUCUCUAACUAUUAAUUUGUGAAGCAUUUCUCCUCACUGCAACAAUUGCUGAUGCACUUUUUACCAACCUCACACGGAGCACUUCUUUCCAAAUCAAAUCACGAAACUAACCUCUCCAAAUCAAAUCACUGUACUAACCUUUCAACAUUGUUUUUUUUUUUUUUUUUUGAAUUUAGCACUUCUUUCUAAAAUAAAAUUUCUUAGUACACCUCUCGCCAAUUAAUUUAAAAUAAAGGUUUUAUUUUGUUAUUUUAAUUAAAUUUACUUUUCCUUUUGUUUUCAAAUUUGUAAUUUUUUGUAAAUGACUAAGUUUUUAACAAUGUGGUUUUCCUUUAUAGAUGACUUGACUGAAAUGACUUGAAUGUAUUUUCUGAGUAGUAAGAGUCAAGUUUUCAAUGUAUUUAAAAAAUUUAAACCUUUAAUUGAAAAGCAGAGUGGUUGUGCCUUUAAGAUUUUGAGGUCUGAUAAUGGUAAAGAGUAUAUCUCGAAUGAAUUUAACAAAUUCUAUGAAGAUACUAGUAUUUAACAUCAACUUUUAGUUUCUUAUUCACCUCAAUAGAAUAGAGUUUCUGAGAGAAAGAACAUAACAAUUAUUGAAAUAGCCAAAUGUAUGUUGAAAGAGAAAGUGCUACCAAAGAUGUUUUGGGCUGAAGCUAUUUAUACAACUGUGUAUUUAUUGAUAGACUUCCUACUAGAGCAGUGGAAGGGAAAACUCAGCUGUAGCAUAGUUUGGGUCAAAGCCUUUUGCAAGCCACUUGAAGGUCUUUGGAUAAGUUUGCUACAUACUUGUUCCUAAUGUCAAGGGAGUGAAGCUAGAUGAUAAAUUUGAUUUGAGUAUUUUUCUAAGUUAUAUAAUUUCAUCAAAAUGCUAAAAAAUCUAUAAUGUGCAAACCAAGAAAGUGAUUGUUAGUAGAGAUGUGAAGUUUAAUGAAGGAGCCUAUUGGAACUUUCAGAAAGAGCAUAUUGUUGGAGCAGUAAACUCUAUGUUAGCCAAAAGUUAUUUUUGAAAGCUCUAGCAAUGGAGAUAUAAAAUUUGAAAAAGAAUCUAAUUCUGAUUCAUAAUCUGAAAACGAGUCUAAUUUUGUUUUAGAAUCUGAAAAGGAGUCUAAUUUCGAUAAUGAAGCACAUGCCUUUAAAUUAAGUCUCUUUCCGAGAUUUAUGAAAGAUGUAAUGUGGCUGUGGCAGAACCAAGCUGCUAUGAAGAAGCUUCUCAAACUAAAAAAUGACAGAAUGCUAUAAAAGAAGAAAUUGCAGUAAUUAAAAAGAAUGAAACCUGGGAAUUGGCUUCCAAACCAAAGGGUAAAAAUGUAAUUGGUGUGAAGUGGAUUUACAAAAUUAAAUUAAAUUCUGAUGGCUUUAUCUUCAAGUACAAAGCCAGACUUAUUAUGAAAGGUUAUGCUCAGCAACCAGGGGUUGCUUAUGGAGAUACUUUUACUCCAGUUGCUAGCAUGACACUAUUAGAUUGUUGUUGUCUUUAGCAAUCUAAAAUGGUUGGCAAGUGUUUCACUUUGAUGUCAAAUUUGCAAUCUUGAAUGAUUUGCUAAAUGAGGAGAUUUAUAUCCAGCAGUCUGAAGGAUUUGAAGUAAGGGCUAAGAAGACAAAGUGUAUAAGGUUAAGAAGGCACUUUAUUGCCUGAAACAAGCUUUAAGAGCUUGGUAUGCAAUGAUUGACUCACAUCUGAUCCAAAAUGGAUCUAGAAGGAGUGAAAAUAAGCUAACCUUGUAUGUAAAUAAUGUUGGAGAUGAAUCUCAGCUGAUUGUGUCACUUUAUAUUGAUGAUAUGUUAGUGACUAGUAGAAAUUCUCAGUUAUUGGAUAAUUUUAAGCUGAGAAUGCAAUCUGAAUUUGAAAAAUCAGAUUUGGAAAUUAUGACUUAUUUUCUUGGGCUUGAAAUUGAGCAAGGUGCUGAUGGUAUCUUUAUGUCUCAAAGGAAAUAUGCUCUUGAAAUGCUGAAAAAGUUUAAUUUGGAUAAAUACAAGUUUGUGGUUGUUCCUCUUAUUGUGAAUGAGAAACUUAGCAAGGAUCAUAGAGCUGAACUAGCAGAUGCUUCACUGUACAAAAAUUUGAUUGGUAGUUUGCUAUAUUUGAUUGCUUUUAGACCUGAUUUAAUGUAUUCAACAAGCUUAUUAUCUAAAUUUAUGUAUUUUCCUAGUCAAUUGUAUUUUAUUGCGGGUAAGAGACUAUUGAGAUACUUGAAGGGUAUUGCUGAAUUUGGCUUAUGGUUUCAAAGAGGAAAAGUUGUCAAGCUUGAAGGUUAUGUGGAUAGUGAUUGGCUGAUGUAUUGAUGAUUCAUAGAGCACUAAGCUAUGUUUUUUUCUUAGUUCAAGUCAUUUCUCUUGGAAUUAAAGGAAGCAAGAUGUGGUAGCUUAAUUUACUGUUGAGGCUGAAUAUAUAUUUCAGCUAUUGGUGCUUUAAAUCAAUCAAUUUGGCUUAGGAAACUACUAAAGAAUUUGGGAAUUGAGCAAGUGUACUGUUAUAUGGUAUGAUAAAAAAUCAGCUAUUACCAUUGCAAAUAAUUCUGUUUAACAUGGAAUAACUAAGCACAUUAAAGUGAAAUUUCAUUUUCUAAGAGAAGUAGAGAAAAAAUUCAGAGAUCAAGUUGCUGCAUUGCAAGUAAGUUUGAAAAAUUAAGAAAGAAGCUUGGAGUAUCAAGAAAAAAUCUCAAGAAGUGUUGAUUGAUGAGAUUUUUUCUAGAUACUUAGGUUGCUUAAAUCUUAGUUAAUGUUUCAUUUAAAGUAUACUUUUUAUUGUAGAUGCAAUGAUAUAAUGGUUAGUUAAAUGAUUGUAGUACAAUUCACCGUACCUUAACCAUGCUUUUUUAUUUUAUUUGUAAGAGUUAUUAAUAUCUGUUGUAAUUUGUGUAAUCAGUCUCAUUUUGACUACUUAUUCCAUGAAUCAUAAUCUUUUAGCAAGAGAGGGAGAGACUUAAAAAAGAGUUUUGAAUUUUUUUUUUCUCAAUUCACUACUAAUUUUAAAUAUUAAUUUUUAAUUUUAAAUAUAUAAUUUCAGUAUUUAAUUAUUUAUUCUUUAUUCCAGCUCCUUAAAUACCCGUUUACGGUUUUCAAUAUCUAAUUUUAGUAUUUAUUCUUACUCCAACUCCCAACACAAAUAUUACAUUCUCCUUUCAAGUUCAUUUGUCUUUUAGCUUCUUUUGGUGCAAGAUAUCAUUGCCCUUCAGGAUUGUCUUUACUUGAAAAAAAUGAACCAAUACAAUUUGUAAAAUAUGUAUCAAUUUGUAUACAACUGAAUAUAAACAUAUUAUAUGCGUCACUUGUUUCACUGGUAGAUGAAGUUCAUUACAGGUCUGAUUUCUGAGGAAGUUUUCUUUUUUUUUUUUUUUCUUUUAUCUGAUUUCAUAUCUCAUUCCAAAUAAUAAGACGCAAGAAAAAUAAUAACCAAUUCAGAUUUAAUUCGGUCUUUUCAAAAUAUAUUCAGAAUUCAUAGCCAAUCCAUUUAAUGCUCUAUCUGAUUUCUGGUUCUUGUGAUAUACUCUUACAAAAUUCAUCUAAAAUUCAGGGCUCUUACAUAUUCUGGCAACACAAUUUAUAUAAAAACUGAUUUCUCAGGAAAAAAAGGGAAAAUUAUGUUAUUUGCAUUGAAUGAACAAAUGAUUAGCAUAAUAGCAAAGCUACUUAAAAUCAGAGAAAUUAGAAAAAAAAAAAAAAAUCAGCACAGUUGAGUCUGGGCAUUGCAUGUUGGAUGAUCAAAACAGAGGUCUCGAGUGAGAAUUUAGAUCCUGAAAUACGCAGGCCUGCAGCAAGUCAUUCGAAGAAGUGUGCAAAACUCCCAUCAUUCAGCUUCAUUUCUGCUUCCCGCUCAGCAAGAUUACUCUGUAUCUUGUUUUCUGAACUGCGACAGACAGGAAACUUAUCCCGGUGAGUUUUUAUUCCGGGAUGUCAAGGGCACAACCUGCGUAGCUUAAUGAAUCUCCAUCAUCUUCGCCGCAGGUGUAAGUUAUGAAGAUAACUGCUAGAUGGAGGAUUUUCACACUAUUGAUUUAGCAUUUGUUUCAAGCCAGAUUCAUCAUUAAAUCACAGAUUUGCUUUACAAGCAAUAACUAGGGGGAUUUCAUAUUACUGAAUCGCUUAUUUUUGGAGACAGAAGAAGAGUGCUCACAUUUUGUUUUUACUGCACAAACACUUGAUAAAGAAUCUGAGUGAGAAGUUCCUCUCGCCAAGAACAUUUGCACCCAGAAAUUUCCUUAAAUAAAUAAGGUUUUAACAAGGUGAAUGCUUUGCUUUUUCUUUUUUUGUGAAGAACUUCAGAGUAAACAAAGGUAAGACUAUUGGGUUUUGAUGUUUACCUUGUGUGGGAGAAAUAUGAUGUUUAUCCAGAACUUCAGAGUAAACAAAAUGUAUUCUUAAUGUAUUCUUUUUUAGGAUCCGGCCCACCCAAAUGUAAAAAGUCUUGCAAUUAUUAUAAAUAACAGCAACACUCGAGAAUUAAAUAAUAAACUGAUUUUAUAAAUCAUAUUGUAACGUUAUAGGAGAAUAUCAAAUAAAUAAAUUAUUAAAUUUCUAGAAAUUUUAAAGAAAAAAUUAUAAUUUAAUCAUUAAUUGAUGUUUUUAUUUUUAAAAAGAUAUAUUAAAACAUUAUUAAAAUUUUAAAAUAUUAAAAAUUAAUUUAUUUUUAAAAAAAUUUAAAAUAUUUUUGAUAUUGAAUGAUUAUGUAAUAAAUUUUUUAUAAAAUUAAUAAAUCAAUUAAUAAAUUUUAUGAACAUAUAAAAAUUAAAUAGUAAAAUAUUUAAAAAAAUAAUAAUUUUUAAAUUUUUAAAAUAGUAGAGAUAUUUUAGUAUUUUUUUUUUUUAAACUUAAGUGAUUAAUUUUAAAUAGAGAAGGGUGACUUGAUUGUAAAUUACCUAGUCUUUAGCACUUUUUUG